ACAGAAUGUGCCUGCCUGCCUGUGAUUCCUCAAGGACAGGCACAUUUCCUGUCUCGUUCAUCUCCACUUCUUCAAGACGUAUAACACAGUGAGCACCUGGCUCAUAGGACUAACUUCCUGACUGUUGGUUGAGUCAGUGAAGAAAUACAGCAAUGAGGAAAAGAAGGACAGGUUUUUCUCAAAAUUAUGAGGUUAGAGCUCCUCAGGCAUUACCCAGUGGCUGGCCCAGGAAGUUGGAAUAGGCCUGAAGUUUGGCCCAAUCUACCUUCAAGGCACACACAGUCUUUGAAGUCCACGUCUCUGCUGUGGAUUUCCAGCUGUGAACUGGCCAGUUCUACCUGGAGGUCUCCCAGACACAUCCAAGCCCUCACAGUCAGUGUGGAAAUCACCACCCUCCUGCAGGCGGUUCCUUCUUCAUCUCAAUGAGCGAGCGCACUAUGGAUCAGUGGUCCCCAGGACCCGAUACCCUCAGGGCAGAGCCCACCCAAGGAGUUCUUUUGUAUCCUCUGAGCCCCUUGGAAAGACCCCUGUUUUCUGCCCCUCUGCCCUGCCAAACAUGUCAGGCCUUGGUCCAGAUUCGGUGUCUGCUGUUGACCUGUUCCUCAUAGGUGGCGCUUCUGAUGUGUCCUCAGGGGGAAAAGAGGUGUCCUCACGUGGCAGCUCCCUCUCCCUCUCUCCCCUCCCC
rnacentral:lncRNA from 1 species